rnacentral:lncRNA from 1 species
UAAUCAAUUCAUAUUACAAAUAUAUUCAUGGCUUUGAAUUAACCUCUAGCCAAAAUAAAUUUAGUUACACAUUAUUUUCAAAUUAAACCAAAAAUUAAACAUGAGUUUGAGAAGAUAACACCAAUAAGAAUGGAGUGAAGCCUCUGCCUCUGUGCUCCUCUUCUUCCCGUGCUUCUCCUCCUAUCUCUCACGCUGCCAAAGGCAGCCUUUAUUCUUUCCGCGCCCAACAGUCUCUGCGCCUCACUUCCCUUCUCUGUUCCGUGUGUUUUCUCUGCUCUCCGCACAGUUUUCUGUGCAGCUUCUCUCACUAGCUUCCAGGCUCU